rnacentral:miRNA from 1 species
CGAAUAACAUUUUGAUUUUUAAUCGACGUUUCGACUAGUUUGUAGUCAUCCUCAGGAUGAUGAUCCUGAGGAUGACUACAAACUAUUCGAAACGUCGAUUAAAAAUCAAAAUGUUAUU